rnacentral:rRNA from 1 species
AUUGAACGCUGGCGGCAGGCUUAACACAUGCAAGUCGAGCGAGUGGCGGACGGGUGAGUAAUGUAUGGGAAUCUGCCCGAUAGAGGGGGAUAACUACUGGAAACGGUGGCUAAUACCGCAUACUAUCGGAUGAACCCAUAUGGGAUUAGCUAGUAGGUGGGGUAAAGGCUCACCUAGGCGACGAUCUCUAGCUGGUCUGAGAGGAUGACCAGCCACACUGGGACUGAGACACGGCCCAGACUCCUACGGGAGGCAGCAGUGGGGAAUAUUGGACAAUGGGCGCAAGCCUGAUGCAGCCAUGCCGCGUGAAUGAAGAAGGCCUUAGGGUUGUAAAGUACUUUCGGCGGAGAGGCGUUACCCGCAGAAGAAGCACCGGCUAACUCCGUGCCAGCAGCCGCGGUAAUUC